UGGGGAAUUUUGGACAAUGGGGGGAAACCCUGAUCCAGCCAUCCCGCGUGUGCGAUGAAGGCCUUCGGGUUGUAAAGCACUUUUGGCAGGAAAGAAACGUCGCGGGUUAAUACCCCGCGAAACUGACGGUACCUGCAGAAUAAGCACCGGCUAACUACGUGCCAGCAGCCGCGGUAAUACGUAGGGUGCAAGCGUUAAUCGGAAUUACUGGGCGUAAAGCGUGCGCAGGCGGUUCGGAAAGAAAGAUGUGAAAUCCCAGAGCUUAACUUUGGAACUGCAUUUUUAACUACCGGGCUAGAGUGUGUCAGAGGGAGGUGGAAUUCCGCGUGUAGCAGUGAAAUGCGUAGAUAUGCGGAGGAACACCGAUGGCGAAGGCAGCCUCCUGGGAUAACACUGACGCUCAUGCACGAAAGCGUGGGGAGCAAACAGGAUUAGAUACCCUGGUAGUCCACGCCCUAAACGAUGUCAACUAGCUGUUGGGGGCCUUCGGGCCUUGGUAGCGCAGCUAACGCGUGAAGUUGACCGCCUGGGGAGUACGGUCGCAAGAUUAAAAACUU
rnacentral:rRNA from 1 species